rnacentral:rRNA from 1 species
UACAGAGGGGGCAAGCGUUAUUCGGAAUUAUUGGGCGUAAAGGGCGCGUAGGCGGCCAUUCAAGUGACGGGUGAAAGCCCUCGGCUUAACCGAGGAACUGCCUGUCAGACUGGAUGGCUUGAGACCGGGAGAGGUGAGUGGAAUUCCCAGUGUAGCGGUGAAAUGCGUAGAGAUCGGGAAGAACAUCGGUGGCGAAAGCGCUCUACUGGACCGCAACUGACACUCAGGGACGAAAGCUAGGGGAGCGAAUGGG